rnacentral:rRNA from 1 species
GAGUUUGAUCGUGGCUCAGGAUGAACGCCGGCGGUGUGCCUAAUACAUGCAAGUCGUACGCACUGGCCCAACUGAUUGAUGGUGCUUGCACCUGAUCGACGAUGGAUCACCAGUGAGUGGGCGGACGGGUGAGUAACACGUAGGUAACCUGCCCUGUACAGGGGGAUAACAAUCAGAAAUGACUGCUAAUACCGCAUAAGACCACAGCACCGCAUGGUGCAGGGGUAAAAACUCCGGUGGUACAGGAUGGACCCGCGUCUGAUUAGCUGGUUGGUGAGGUAACGGCUCACCAAGGCGACGAUCAGUAGCCGGCUUGAGAGAGUGAACGGCCACAUUGGGACUGAGACACGGCCCAAACUCCUACGGGAGGCAGCGGUGGGGAAUAUUGCACAAUGGGGGAAACCCUGAUGCAGCAACGCCGCGUGAGUGAAGAAGUAUUUCGGUAUGUAAAGCUCUAUCAGCAGGGAAGAAAGUGACGGUACCUGACUAAGAAG